rnacentral:lncRNA from 1 species
AGACUAACCUUUGUGAGAAGUAGGAUGUCAAUGGGUUUGGAUAUCAAAAAUUUUAUCCGAACCCGAAUCCGAAUGAAACGAAUAUAUCUAAUGGAUAUGGAUAUGGAUUCGGAUAUGGGUACCAAAAAUAGAAAUCCGCCGGAUAUGGAUUUUGAUUGUACCCGAAUCCAACCAGAACCUGAAUUUAUUUUGUAUUAUAUAUAAUAUAUAUAUAUAUAAAAAUUUGAUGUUAUAUUUGAACUUGUAUUUCAAAAUUUUAGAUUUAAUAUAAUAUAUUUUGAAAUAUUGAAAAAAUAAUAAUUUUUUCGGGUUCAAAUUUUCGGGUUCGGGUUUCGAAUUUUUGGUAGGAUUCGGGUUUGGAUAUGGAUUUUUAAAAUCCACCGGGUUCGUGUUCGGAUUCGGAUUUUUAAAAAUUCGCUCCGAAUCCGACCCGUUGACAUCUCUAGUGAGAAGCACUGCAAAGUCUAUUUAGUAUUAUUGUAAGUUGGAGUGUUAUUUGAUAAUAUGUUGUUUGUAUAAUGAUUUUAAAAUCAUUGUAUUGAAAUUCUCGUAAUAAAAGUAUCAAACUAGAGUUUUGUGUUGGCUAAAAUGGACCAGUAUCCUGUCCUAUGGCGGGAGACCAUGUUGGGCCGAAUUAUAUUCGAAAUGGCGUGAGGCUAAGGUGGGCCGAGUUACAAUUGAGACCCGUGGGCGCUAUAUCUGUACGCUUUAAGGGGACGUUUGGUUAGAUGCAAUUAUAAAUGCAGUGUAGUUAGAGAUGCAUGCAGUUGAAAAUACAGCAGUUACAACUACAUGAAUCAUGUUUGGUUGAAUGCAGUAGAAAGUGCUACAAGUAUACGUAAUUUGUUUGGUUGCAUACAGUUGAGAAAUAAUUUUAAAAUUUUAUUAUUUUAUAUAUAUGAUGGUGAGAUUACCUCCAAUGUAAAAAAGAAAAAAAAAUUAUUUAAAAAAUAUUGAGGAGAUAAAUGUGCCUUUUAUGUAAAGUUAUUCUCUCCAGCUGUUGUAGUUGGAACUGCGGCCAAUUUGGGUGUAGCUCGAACUGCUGCAGUUGGGCUUCCUCUUGCAGUUCCUACUGCAGCAGUUGGAGUUAAAUACAUCAAACUAAACACGAAAUUUGUAUUUAUAUGUAGUUACAACUGCAGUGUAGUUGCAACUACAUGCAAUCAAACAGCCCCUAAGUAAAUUAAUUACGUAUUUCUAAUAGCUCGAGCUUUUGAGAUUAAUGAUUAGCGCCAACGAUCCGACAUUUUGGACUCUUUCUUUCGAGAAUUUCGACUGUACAUUAAAGUUCAAAAGUU